AUCAUCAUUCUUCUUCAGCAAAAACGCCAUGAGAGGUCUGAAAGUUGUUGUUUUUCAUAGUUUGACAUAUUUCAGUGACAAGAUGAAUUGAAGGAAAAGACCAUAGUUGGACCAUGGCAACAAGGAUAAGUGAAAGUGAUAAGUAAUAGCUUCGGCUACACUUAUCUGAUCAAGGAUAAGUAAAAGUGAUAAGUAAUAGCUUCGGCUACACUUAUCUGGUCAAGGACAAAUGACAAGUGAAAAGUGGUAGCUUCGGCUACCUGAUUAGUGAAAAGUGGUAGCUUCUGCUACCUAAUCAAUGAAAAAUGGUAGCUCCGACUACCUGAUCAAUGAAAAAUGGUAGCUCCGGCUACCUGAUCAGUGAAAGUGGUAGCUUCGGCUACAAGUGACAAGUGAUUUCCGUGUAAGACCAUAGCUAUGACAUCGAUAUAUAAAGAUGUGUAAGACCAUAGUUGAACUAUGACAUCGAGUAAACGAAGUACUCAAUUCCGUAAGACGUUCACUAAUUUGACAAAGUUUGGGAAGUGUUACAUGGAAUUAUGUGAUACAGGAAGUACGAGUUGAUAAGAUAUGAGUAUAGAACUUGGUUGAUAAAUGAAUUCAUUUGUGAUUAUAUAAUUGUUCAUCUUGAAUAUACUGUCCAUAUGUAUUGAUAAUUCAAACGUAUUAAUGAAUAAAGUUCCGACAUGGAAUAAAUUGAACACGAGAUAAAUAAUUAUGAAAUUGAACUCGGAAUUCAUGAAAAUGAUGGUUAUUGAUAUAUAGAGACAUGAGACAUUGGUAUAUGAAUAUGGAAAAUAUUUGAUAAAUGUGUUUAUUCAUAAUUAUGGAAUUAUAUACCUCAUGUGUACUAUUUGCAUAAAGAUGAUAUUUCAAAUACUUUGGUUAUUUAAGCUUAAAUAUGAAACAAUAUGAAAUCAAGAUAAGUUGUUAUAAAAAUAUAUUUAGAUUACAGAGAUAUGGCUGAUGUAUGUUGUAUGAUUACAUAACGUGAAAUUGUGUAUAUAUAUGAGAAAUUUAAUGAGAAAUGAGCCAUACACGUUUCUUGUUAUUUAUAUGAAGUGUACGACUGACAAGGGUAAUAAAGUUAUAAACAGAGAGUUACACGGGUUGAAAACACGGGCGUGUGACUCUUCAAAGUGUGAAAAUUUUCUAAGUGUUGCAAAAGUUCAUAUGUUUACGGUUUGGUCCUAAACCACCCUGAAUGUAUGUUUUGGGCCCCAUAGGCCCAUAUAAGGGACGUUAAACAUAUGUAUGAAAGUUUUUAAUUUAGAAGAAA